rnacentral:rRNA from 1 species
UCCACCAAUCUUUCUUCCUAUCUGUUAGAGCUCUCGUCUGGUUUCCCAUUGAAGCUAAGCAGGGUUGAGCCUGGCCAGUACCUGGAUGGGAGACCUCCUGGGGAAAACUUAGGUUGCUGCUGGAA